AAAAUAUUGGGCCUUCGAGUUCUUACUUCAGUCUUGAAUCUCCAGUUUCUAUGAAGUAGAGAAUUUUGAAACAAGGAAAAACAGGGGUAAGAUUCCACAUGCUUGAUGCUUAUAUCAAUGUAUGAAUUGUUCUUCUGGAUUCAAGUUUGUUUAGCUUAUCUAGUUUGAUUGUUGAUUGUUGAUUGGAAUAAUUUCUGUGGCUGUUCGAUAUGUUUUAAGUAACUAGGUAGGAUUUCUUUCUUUGAUUAUUUAAUCUCCAUUUUGCGAGCAUUUCGCGAUCUCGGCUUAGGAUCAUCGUUCGAUUUACAGUUCUAAUAGGAAAGCUGGAUCAAUGACGAAUAAGUUGAAUAUAGUAAAUCGCACAUUCUACUUGAAUAUAUUAUUGCAAUCUCCUCUUUAGUGCAUUAUUAUUGGAGUCGCGUAAUGAACAAUGAUUUUGAUCUUGUUGUUUAUCUUCUGUUGCCGGAAGAACAUUCAGCCAGAAAAGGAAAACGUUCAAAGAAAUAAAUGAAAAUGAAAAUUACUGUAGGUUACAUUAAUUUGGGAUGUAGGAGAUACAAUGAGAUACUCAACUCUUAAGACUGGACCAGAAAGCACAGUGCUCUUAAUGUUUCAUUUUCCCUAUAUUUUAAAGAUUAGGAGUUUGUUCUUUAUGGACUGUGAUUCGAGAUCUGGAGACAAAUUUUAAUCUGGUAGUUAAUCAGUGGCUGACAGAGCCGCAGCUACAAUCUGUGGAAGGUUAAUAGUUUAUGACAUUUGGCUAAAAAUCAGAGUAAUGCUUCAUCUGAAAUUGGUGUUGCUGAGUAUAGCAAAAGCAUAUACCUGGAACUUCAGCGAAAGAUGGUUCACCGAUAUGUGAAUUUUAAGAUUGAUGAAAAGAAAAAAGCCCAGAUGGGAUUUUCGAUGAUUUCACUUCUUCAUUGCCUGAGAGUGAUUGUAGAUCUGCAGUUCAUGAUUAUCACUGCCUGGUUUAUUUUCAUUCGUUCAAACAGUUUUUUCCUUGUUAGUACAGUAAUUUGAUUUGUAGUUUAGCAGUUUCAACCUCUUACUAUUUGAUUAAACGAGUUCAGUUCCUUAUGUUUGAUUCUGCUUUAGUUUAAUGUUCAACUAUUUCAUUAAAUAGCAAGCAUCUUUCUUUAUGUGUUGAAUCUCAGGUGUUAUUUCUAGCUUAGCUAGCAUGAAUCGAAAACAUGGAGCUGUAACAUUUCUUAUGUGUUUGGUUGACUUUCUUUCUGAUGUUGUUUCAUGAAAUUGUGUACAAUCAAACUUUAUCUAUGCCAUUGUUUCUUUAACAAGAGGGAUUUGAGAACUUUAUACAGAGGGUUGUUUUAUACCUAUCUGAGAUUAGUAUUAGUUUGUUAUCAAUUUGCUUCACUUGAUUUGUCCGGUUGAUGUUAUAGCUCUAUCAGUUGUUUCAGUUCACGUCAUCUGCUUUGUUGUAGUACCCAACAUCUAUAUCAUGGCCGUGAUUGUCUGAAGUUUUCACACUUGAUUUCUUCUAUUUUCUGAACACUAGCAAGCAUAUUGAAUGUUUUAUAAUGUCAUUCUAGUUUUGCAGGCAAAGGAAAUGAAGUAAGGUAUGCAACUGUCUAAAAUAAUCUCGCUCAAGAUGAUUAAUUGAGCGUAAAGCUCUCUUGAAGAACUCGUAGGAAACAUUUAUUUGAUGUUUACAGAAAAUAGAGGACGAGUACAACUAACGAAAAUGAAAUUAAAAAAUUACCCUACUAUUCCCUACAUCAGUGAUCUACUUCAGUUCUUAUGACUUGUUAUAGUUAACACUUUUUGCAGGUCUCCAUCGAAAGGGAGUCCCACAUUGGCUAAUUAAGGAUAUAAUCAUGGGUUUAUAAAUAAGAAAUACAUCUCUAUUAGUAUGAGGCUUUUUGGGAAACCAAAAGUAAAGGGUAUUAUGGAGGAUCGUGAUUCCUAACAUCCAUUACGAGAUCCAGACAACUGACCCAACUGAGAAGGAUCUUGAAGUCCUUAGAGACCAUGCAAUCUGAUUCUAAGCAUUACACUCUGAUUUGGGCUCGUGACUUUGAUAACCACUGCAGCAGCAGGAGGGUAACUUGAGCUUCCUCACUGUCGUUAUGCUUCUAAGGAAAGGCAAAGGACGGAUAAGAAAUCCACGAUAAUAAGGGAGGCUUUUGGAGGAAAGGAGAACAACCAACCACUUAUCGAUGAGGGCCUUAUCAAAAAUAGAUUAUGAAUCUGAUAGCAACACCAUAAGUUUUCUGAUACCUGACUGUGAAGCAAGAAAAGGCAAAAAUCUGUCAAAUGGUCCCAUGAAGAAAAGAAAGCAAGAAAACCCCAAAAAAUACAACCAAACAGCUUCCCAUUUUCCAUAGAUAUCAGUUUCGAGUAAGUUAAUGGGUUUGUCUUGUAUCUUACCAUCUCCCACUAGUUAUCAGUGUGUCAAAUAAGAAGCAUUACCUCAGAAUUUAAGCUACCCUUUUGGUUUCUCCAAAAGCCAAUUCAAACACAAGCCUCUCGCAGAAAAUCAGGUGGACCCAUAAGAUUUUUGUUGUGGGUUGUAUCUUAUUCCAGGCAAUAGGGA